CAGGCUUAACACAUGCAAGUCGAGCGGGGGAAGGUAGCUUGCUACUGGACCUAGCGGCGGACGGGUGAGUAAUGCUUAGGAAUCUGCCUAUUAGUGGGGGACAACAUCUCGAAAGGGAUGCUAAUACCGCAUACGUCCUACGGGAGAAAGCAGGGGAGCUUCGGACCUUGCGCUAAUAGAUGAGCCUAAGUCGGAUUAGCUAGUUGGUGGGGUAAAGGCCUACCAAGGCGACGAUCUGUAGCGGGUCUGAG
rnacentral:rRNA from 1 species